AGCAGAUACAGCUGCCCAAUGGCCGCAGCAGAUACAGCUGCCUGAUGGCUGCUUUUAGGAUGCAAUAUUUUCUGUCUCUCCCCAUGAAAUCACUGGUGAGGAGGGAGUCCCCUUUGUCAUUUCAGCUGCCAAAACAUUUCAUGCUAAUGAGCUGUGAAGGGGAAGUCGCUAAUGAUAUGAAAUCCCUCUUUAUGGCCAGGGCUGGGCCAAGGCCACCAGAGGGGUGGUGGAGAGGUUCUUAACAACAGAGGCUGAUUCUUCUGCUGGUGGAAGGUGAGAGGACAGGCCAAUCCAUAAACAAUGCCCAAGGACUCUGGGGGCAUCGGCCUGUUUCCGUAAGCCUCUAUGCCCUUCCUCUCUGACACCUCAAAAUUUUAUAUGGGAGCUUAAGUUAGCUACGUUCAGAGGGAAAUAGAAGGAGAAAUACUUUUGGCAGAUCACCUAGGAAAACUAAAAGUAAUUCCCAAGGUACCUGUUUGAAUUAAGGAAAGUCCCAUAAAAAAUUGCUAUUCCAUUGGAGUCCACGUCCACCCUAAUUCAAGCCAGCUGAUGGCCCGAAGACGUGAAUGAAGCGGUGGCCAAGGGAAGCUUGUGUGGUACGGUGGAAAGACCCCUGCUUGGGAGUCAGAGAAUCUGUGUCAGGCCCUGCAAAUACAGGGAGAGGAGCAAGGGAAGAACAAAUGGAUUCUUUCACUUCUGCAGAAGCCUUCAACUUGGAUUCAAUUGAGAGGUACAUGGUGGCUGAUUUUUGCAAUCAAGCUGAGGAGUUUUCAUCUUAAGCUUGGACCUUCAUAGCUGACCAUGGCAGCUGACUUCUGUUUCCAAAUCAACUAUCCUCACUUUGGGGAGAAAGAAAUGAACCUGAAGCACCCCUCAUGAUGAUGUGAGCAUGCUGGAUUGCUGCAAGGGCCUUAAUCCCUGGGAGAUUUAUGUCUGUGACUUCACUAUGAAAACAAAACUAUCUUCCCCGCCCUGUCAGGGUGCAACAAUUAGAAAAGAAUGUGAGGUUUACUUUUGAUGAAGCAUGAGGUUCAUAAUAGAGCCUCUUUUACCAAUGGGAUGAUUCGUAGCUAAAGUAUAAAAACCAUGGGCUGAAAAUGAAAAGAAUAAAGAAAACAUAACAGAAUUCCUAUUACCCCUCUUCAGAACAGGGAAACAAAGGCUAAGCUUUGACAAUGAACUAUAAUACAUUUUUAAAUAUUUUGUUCUGCAUUAAGAUGCAGUAUUUUUUUCUGCAUUAAGACUCUAAGUCAUUGUGCACCUGAAAGUUGGUUUUGUAUUAAUUUACAUAGGAUGGACCUACUUUCCCUGUAAUUAUAAAAACAUCUCAAGACAUGCAUGACAGGUCUUCAGAGAAUGCCACUGAUUUCUGAGCCACUGCAGAUAAUUACACAUUAAUAUGGAUGGUAUGAGGACUCGAUCUGAUCCCAUUCUACACCUGUGAGGAUAAUGGGAAUGCCACCCCUUAGGUCACGUGGGCAUAAUGGCUUCAGGUAAUCUCAAGGCAAUACAGUCUUAAGCCAAUGAGGAUCAUAGCAGUAACAAGCUAGAAACUGAACAGUUAGGUAGUCUGGAGGCAGUAGGGCUCAGGGUAAUAAAUAGUCAAGGCCCAGGCAAGAUGCAGACUCAAACAGUCUGAGGUUGUCAUGAUUAGAGAUAUCAGAAAAGGCUGAAGACAGUCAUAGAACCAAGGAGAGCUAGCAGAAUUUUCAAAACCUGCUACUAUCUGCUCCUUAACAUGGUAGGGGCCAUGUUUUGCACCCCACUCCAUUCCCCAAUACCUGCCAUAGAUCCUUACCCUAGAGCCAUGCACAUCAGGGGUUGGUUGAACACCUGAACUCUUUGAUCAUCAUUUACACUCCUGGGCAUCAAAUCUGUGCUACCAAAAGAAAUCCCAAUGGGAAAAAGCCAUCUCCUAGCCUUUUGAGUAGCAAAAUUAUCUAGGAGCUCAUAACCUUUCCAUUUCCAUAGCUGAAAUCUGCCUGACAUUCUCCACUUGGAGUUGAAGUCCAGUUUGAUUGAGGUGGGGUAGGUGCUUCAUUUUCUAAAAAUGGACUGGUUUGAAUCCCAGUGAGGUCUAAAUUUAGAAACUGAGACCUUGACCUCCUUUUCAACUUUCUGCUUCAGAGAAAGUUACUAAUAAUCAGCUGCCUAACUAUACCAAACCACUUUGGAAGCUCAGUUGAGCAACACAGAUACUAGAGUUGGUGUUAUAUGAAGUAGAUUGACAGGGCCUUUAUUCAAGGGUAAAACAAAACGCUUAAAUCAUUUCAUAUUUUUCUCCUUCCUUCCCCUGAGCUUCUGCAAUAAUUCACAUGCAUUUCUGUUAGUUCUUAUCAUGUAUUGUUUUAAUUACUUGAUUUUUAAACUGUGAACUCUUUGUGGAUAUAGAUCAAGCUUAGAGCCUGAUACAUAAUAGAACAUUAUAUAACAGUUGCUGAUGAUUGCUUGAGCCCAGGAGUUUGAGACCAGCCUGGGCAACAUACUGAGACCCCAUUUCUAUAUUAAAAAAAAAAAAAAAGAAUUUGAUGCUCAGCUGUACAAAGUGCAGUUAGUGGACAGCCUC